rnacentral:rRNA from 1 species
AUUGAACGCUGGCGGCAUGCCUUACACAUGCAAGUCGAACGGCAGCACGGGAGCAAUCCUGGUGGCGAGUGGCGAACGGGUGAGUAAUGUAUCGGAACGUACCUUUCAGUGGGGGAUAACGUAGCGAAAGUUACGCUAAUACCGCAUAUUCUGUGAGCAGGAAAGCAGGGGAUCGCAAGACCUUGCGCUGAUUGAGCGGCCGAUAUCAGAUUAGCUAGUUGGUGAGGUAAAGGCUCACCAAGGCGACGAUCUGUAGCGGGUCUGAGAGGAUGAUCCGCCACACUGGAACUGAGACACGGUCCAGACUCCUACGGGAGGCAGCAGUGGGAAUUUUGGACAAUGGGCGCAAGCCUGAUCCAGCCAUGCCGCGUGAGUGAAGAAGGCC